GCGCCCGUAGCUCAGAUGGAUAGAGCGCUGCCCUCCGGAGGCAGAGGUCUCAGGUUCGAAUCCUGUCGGGCGCGCCA
rnacentral:tRNA from 1 species